rnacentral:rRNA from 1 species
CCUACGGGUGGCAGCAGUGAGGAAUAUUGGUCAAUGGGCGCGAGCCUGAACCAGCCAAGUCGCGUGAGGGAUGACGGUCCUACGGAUUGUAAACCUCUUUUGCCGGGGAGCAAGCGUGCGUUUGUGAACGCGCGUCGAGAGUACCCGGAGAAAAAGCAUCGGCUAACUCCGUGCAAGCAGCCGCGGUAAUCCGGAGGAUGCGAGCGUUAUCCGGAUUUAUUGGGGUAAAAGGGUGCGUAGGCGGGAUGCCAAGUCAGCGGUAAAAAUGCGGUGCUCAACGCCGUCGAGCCGUUGAAACUGUUUGUCUUGAGUACUGGAGAGGCAGACGGAAUUCCUAGUGUAGCGGUGAAAUGCGUAGAUAUUAGGAGGAACACCAGUGGCGAAGGCGGUCUGCUGGACAGCAACUGACGCUGAGGCGCGAAAGCGUGGGGAGCAAACAGGAUUAGAUACCCUGGUAGUC